rnacentral:lncRNA from 1 species
CUAAAUAUAAACCAACAAAGUACAUCUGAAACAACCUGACUCAGGAAAUGUGCAGCUAUUUGGCCAUUUGCGCAGCCAUUUGCCCAUUAUAUGUGUAUGAGUAUUUCAUGCUCAUAAAGAUUCUGCUAGGUUUGAAUGGGCUAUUUAUAGCAAGCCAAUGACGUAGUUUAUCAAACGUAACCCCUUCCCACAGAUCUCGCCCAGAAUUCAAAACACCGCGAUACCACACUCCUUGCUACGCUAAACUACAGUACACUUGGCUGUUCGCGUUGAAUGUAUAUGAAGCUGUAGACAGGUGUGUCGCGGCACAUGGCGAUGGCGCACAAAACUGCCGACAUCUUGAGAGAAAAAGUCCCUCCCGGUGCAGGAUGAGCCUCUGCGUCGCAGCAUGACCCCAACUCUCACCUGAGUUGGAUAUGCUGCUGGGCAAGGCCAUUCGGGGGCUGGUCCUCUGAGAAAGAUCCUCAAAGUCAUGCCGAAAUGGGAAGGCGAUGCUGUCAAUCACUACUAACCGCACCUAUGAUUGGAUAAUACAACAACAUGUAAUUUAUGAGCAUGUAAAUAGCAGUAAUAUCACACUGAUUGGAUAAUACAACAACAUGUAAUUUAUGAGCAUGUAAAUAGCAGUAAUAUCACACUGCAGAAAGAGCUGUCCUUAGCUGCAGUCCUGACUAUCCAUUUUUUUUACCUCAGGAUGCUCGGAAAGGAAGUAAGGUAGGAGGUAAACCUCAGCUUACAGCUCUACAUAGUCAUGGCAACGGACCAAGAAGAGGUUAGAGAGGAUCUUCUCAACAGUUAAGUUCCUCUAAAGCCUGUUUCUGUUUAAAGAGGAAAAGCAAAGACAGAUUAUUUGACAGUUAUACAUGUAGAGCUCAUUAAUCAUUUUCUUCUGAAUAUAUGUACAUUUAGACAUCCCAACAUCUCAGCUACUCAAAUCAGACCUGGAUCCU